rnacentral:rRNA from 1 species
GACGAACGCUGGCGGCGUGCUUAACACAUGCAAGUCGAACGGAAAGGCCCUGCUUUUGUGGGGUGCUCGAGUGGCGAACGGGUGAGUAACACGUGAGUAACCUGCCCUUGACUUUGGGAUAACUUCAGGAAGCUGGGGCUAAUACCGGAUAGGAGCUCCUGCUGCAUGGUGGGGGUUGGAAAGUUUCGGCGGUUGGGGAUGGACUCGCGGCUUAUCAGCUUGUUGGUGGGGUAGUGGCUUACCAAGGCUUUGACGGGUAGCCGGCCUGAGAGGGUGACCGGCCACAUCGGGACUGAGAUACGGCCCAGACUCCUACGGGAGGCAGCAGUGGGGAAUAUUGCACAAUGGGCGGAAGCCUGAUGCAGCAACGCCGCGUGCGGGAUGACGGCCUUCGGGUUGUAAACCGCUUUCGCCUGUGACGAAGCGUGAGUGACGGUAAUGGGUAAAGAAGCACCGGCUAACUACGUG